rnacentral:rRNA from 1 species
UACCUACGGGGCGCAGCAGUGGGGAAUAUUGGACAAUGGGGGAAACCCUGAUCCAGCGACGCCGCGUGAGUGAAGAAGUAUUUCGGUACGUAAAGCUCUAUCAGCAGGAAAGAAAAUGACGGUACCUGACUAAGAAGCCCCGGCUAACUACGUGCCAGCAGCCGCGGUAAUACGUAGGGGGCAAGCGUUAUCCGGAUUUACUGGGUGUAAAGGGAGCGUAGACGGCAGCGCAAGUCUGGAGUGAAAUGC